rnacentral:rRNA from 1 species
AGGAUGAACGCUGGCGGCGUGCCUAAUACAUGCAAGUCGAGCGGCAGCGAGUUUCUCACUGUUUGCUUAACCCGAUAAUUUAGUUAUCGAUAUGGUUGAGUGAAGAGUGAGAAAUGUCGGCGAGCGGCGGACGGCUGAGUAACACGUAGGAACAUGCCCCAAAGUGAGGGAUAAGCUCAAGAAAUUGAGUCUAAUACCGCAUAUGAUCUUCGGAUUAAAGCCUUCGGGCNCUUUGGGAGUGGCCUGCGUCUGAUUAGAUAGUUGGUGAGGUAAGCUCACCAAGUCGACGAUCAGUAGCUGAUCUGAG